AUCCCUGGGACACUGUUUCUGCUCACACUGUCAACUAAUUGGUCCUGGAGGAGUGACUUUUUAAGAAAUAAGACUGAAGGUGGAGGGACCAUAAUGCUUGGCGGAGAUCAGGAACCAGGGAACUACUACGUGGGUGUGGACGUUGGAACAGGAAGUGUGCGUGCGGCUCUGGUAGACCAGAGGGGCAUCCUUUUGGCUUUUGCAGACCAGCCGAUCAACCACUGGGAGCCUCAGCUCAACCACCAUGAGCAGUCCUCCGAGGACAUCUGGGCUGCAUGCUGUGUUGUCACAAAGCAAGUUGUACAAGGGAUUGAUGUAAACCAAAUCCGAGGGCUUGGGUUUGAUGCCACAUGUUCUCUGGUGGUUUUGGAUAAGCAGUUUCGUCCUUUGCCAGUAAACCAUGAAGGGGAUGCCCACCGAAACAUCAUCAUGUGGCUGGACCACCGGGCGGUCAGUCAGGUCCGCAGGAUCAACGAGACCAAGCACAGCGUCCUGCAGUGUGUUGGCGGCGUCAUGUCCGUGGAGAUGCAGGCCCCGAAGCUUCUGUGGCUCAAAGAGAACUUGAGAGAGACGUGCUGGGAUAAGGCGGGACAUUUCUUUGAUCUCCCAGACUUCUUAUCGUGGAAGGCAACAGGUGUCACAGCACGGUCUCUCUGCUCCCUGGUGUGCAAAUGGACAUACUCUGCCGAGAAAGGCUGGGAUGACAGUUUCUGGAAGAUGAUUGGAUUGGAAGAUUUUGUUGCAGAUAAUUACAACAAAAUAGGAAACCAAGUGCUGCCUCCUGGAGCUUCUCUUGGAAAUGGGCUCACACCAGAGGCAGCGAAGGACCUUGGCCUUCCUGCAGGAAUCGCGGUGGCAGCUUCGCUGAUUGACGCCCACGCAGGAGGCCUAGGAGUGAUUGGAGCAGAUGUGAGAGGGUAUGGCCUUGCCUGUGAGGGACAGCCAGUGACGUCACGGCUGGCUGUCAUCUGUGGAACAUCUUCUUGUCACAUGGGGAUCAGCAAAGAUCCAAUUUUUGUACCGGGUGUCUGGGGCCCUUAUUUCUCAGCCAUGGUCCCUGGGUUCUGGCUGAAUGAAGGUGGUCAGAGCGUUACUGGAAAACUGAUAGACCACAUGGUGCAGGGCCAUGCUGCCUUCCCUGAACUACAAGCCAAGGCCACAGCCAGAUGCCAGAGUGUAUAUGCAUAUUUGAACAGUCACCUGGAUCUGAUUAAGAAGGCUCAGCCUGUGGGUUUUCUCACUGUUGAUUUACAUGUUUGGCCAGAUUUCCAUGGCAACCGGUCUCCCUUAGCAGAUCUGACACUGAAGGGCAUGGUCACCGGGUUGAAACUGUCUCAGGACCUCGAUGAUCUUGCCAUUCUCUACCUGGCCACAGUUCAAGCCAUUGCUUUUGGCACCCGCCUCAUCAUAGAGGCCAUGGAGGCGGGGGGACACUCUAUCAGCACGCUUUUCCUGUGCGGAGGCCUGAGCAAGAAUCCCCUUUUUGUACAGAUGCAUGCAGACAUCACUGGCAUGCCUGUGGUCCUGUCGCAAGAGGUGGAGUCUGUUCUUGUGGGCGCUGCUAUUCUGGGUGCCUGUGCCUCGGGAGAUUUCGCUUCUGUACAGGAGGCAAUGGCAAGAAUGAGCAAAGUUGGGAAGGUCGUGUUUCCCAGACUUGAGGAUAAAAGAUACUAUGACAAGAAAUACCAAGUCUUCCUGAAGUUGGUUGAGCACCAGAAGGAAUACGUAGCGAUCAUGAAAGGAGACUGAAGAGACCUUGCAGGUGUCGGUGCCAGAAGGUCCUUCGGGGACCUCUGUCUUCUCAUCUUACAUUCGAGAUCCUUUAGCAGAUGUAUAAAUAUCUAGGAGGCCCCUUCUGAUGCUCAUUGGUUGAUCAAAGUCCUGUGUUAUUUCUCUUGGCAAGCAGAGUGGUAAAGUGAGAAAGCCUCUAGCCAUGGAGUCACUGAGUCCUUCACCUCACAGCUCCCCUGCUUACUAAUGGACGUGGUAUGUGACCUCCCGCGAGCCGGUUGACCUCUGCGUCUCUGUUUCUUAUCCUAUAAUGUAGGAGGAAAGAAAAUCUGCCUCGUGGCUGAUGUGAGGAAUAAAUGGGAUGAUGUUUUCAAGUGCCCGGCACCAUGCCUCACAUAAAAAAGAAGUACCACAAAUGCCAGUUUUUCUCCUGAACCGGUCCGUUUCUACGUUAGCAGAUUUCUAGAAGCAUUGCUUCAGGUCAAGGUGGACAACAUCAUCUCCUGUUUCUAGGAGUAAAUCUUCUGUGUUCCAUCAUCAACAACCCAGCCAUCUAUUGAGCUUUUGCAAUGUCAGGAGAUCUGGAACAGUCCCUGUUGAUGCACGAAGGGGCCAGCAUUAGGCUUGAGGGAGAGGGGACAGACAUAUCCAGGAACAGAUUUCACAGAAAUGUCGAGCGAGGUGCCAAUGAGCAUCAGAGUUGAUAGGCACUUCAAGAGGCCCAAGGAUGCCAGUAACAUGGGUGUGUCUGGAGAGGCUCAU